AUGAUGCUGAUUGGGAUGCCUUGGAGAGCAAGGCAGCUACCUACAACAGGACCAAUGAAAACCACAAAUGGAGGCCACUGUUCACAACAGGAGCCACUUCGAACAACCAGGAGCUUGUUAGAGCUACGGGUGGCCAUCAGCCUGACCAUCUUUGUGCUGUCUGUCAUCAUCAUCAUCAUCUGCUUCACCUGCUCCUGCUGCUGCCUAUACAAGAUGUGACACCGACCACGUUCACCACUGUGGUGCACGCCCCUUACACUCAGCCUCCAAGUGUGCCACCCAGCUACCCUGGAUCGAGCUACCAGGGCUACUACCCCAUGCUCCCCCAGCCAGGGAUGCCAGCAGCACCCUACCCAACACAGUACCCACCACAUUACUCGGCCCAGUCCAUGGGCCCACCGGCCUACCAUGAGACCCUGGUCAGAGGAGCAACCGUGCCAUACCCCACAAGCCAGCCUCCUUACAACCCGGCCUACAUAGAUGCCCCGAAGGCGGCUCCCUGAGUGUGCCCCGGCCUCUCUGGCUGCCACUAGGUUAUGUUGUGUGUGUGUGAGUGGUGUGCAGGCAUGGUUCCUUACGCCCUGUGUGUGCUGUGUGUGUCCUGCCUGUAUAUGUGGCUUCCUCUGAUGCUGAUGAGGUGGGGAACGAUCCUUGCCAGAGUGGGCUGGGACCAGACUUUCUUCUCUUCCUCAUCUGAAAUUAUGCUUACUAAAAUCUCAAGCCAAACUCAAAGAAUGGGGUGGGGAGCACCCUGCGAGGUGGCCCCUGAGAGGUGGGGGGCUCUCCAGGGCAUAUCUGGAGUUCUUUUCCAGCUUACCCUAGGGUGAGCAAGUGUGGCCUGUCACACCAGGAUGGUGUAGCUUUCUGUGAGUAUGAUAUCGAUGUGUCCUGGUUUUGGCAAUGCAGCCAGCUGCUGCCCAAGGGCAAGGUUUGUCCCCAGAGUUGGGGGUACCCUUUACAGAGCCAGGAACAUGAUGCAGGUGAAGCUUGGGAUCUGACCAAGUUGGGCUUUGAUCCUUUGGGCAGAUGUCCCAUUGCUCCCUGGAGCCUGUGUCAUGCCCAUUGGGGGUCAGGCAGCCUCCUGAUGCCAGAACACCUCAGACAGAGCCUUAUUUACCUGAUAGCUGUCUACCUGGACUGUCCCUGUCCCUGCAUCCUCCCUAGGACCACCUGGAGGGCCACACACAGAGCCUAGUUACCCAAAGGGAGCUCUCUUGCCCUUGCUGGCCCUGCCCUUCCCACAGGUGAACAGGGUGGUCUGUCCACCAGCACACUCAGGUCUCUUCCCUGCAGUGUUUUCAUUUUAUUUUAACCAAACAUUUUGCCUGUUUUCUGUUUUAAAAUGUGAUAAUUGAUGUGAGACUGAAACCCCUGGGUUAUGGAGGGAAAUUGGCCAGGAGGAGAGGGACAACCUGGAGACUGUGAGUCCCUGCUUCCGCUGACACCAGCCUCAUAGAAUAUGCAACUUCUGAACCCCAGUCCAGUGUGUUCUGGCAGCAGGGACACCUGGGCCAAGGGGCCAUCUGGACCAAAGGUGGGGUGUAGGGCCCUGGAUGGCAGACAUGAAUACCUUGGUGUCCCCUGUCUCUCAGUUAUUGUUUCACCAAAGCUGUCUCAGCUUCGUAUCUGUUGUGUUUCUGAGAGUCUAUGGUCUGCACCCUUGUUUAUAAUAAAUGCAAUAGUUUGGGAAAAAAAUUGUGGGCACAUAGUAGAGGUAUGUAUUUAUUGGGUACAUGAGAUGUGAUACAGGCAUGCAAUGUGAAAUAAGCACAUCAUGGAGAAUGAAAUAUCCAUCCCCUCAACCUUGGCGGAAAGGGUCGUAGACAUGGCGGCCAUCAGGAUGGAAAAACUGACAACCAUGCCUGCAGGUCUGAUAUAUGCAUCUGUAAGUGUACAUACAG